rnacentral:rRNA from 1 species
CCCUUAGAUGUCCUGGGCUGCACGCGCGCUACACUGAUGUGUCCAGUAAGCACCUAACCUCUUCCGAAAGGACCGGGUAACCUUUGCAAAGCACAUCGUGAUGGGGAUAGAUUAUUGCAAUUAUUAGUCUUGAACGAGGAAUUCCUAGUAAGCACAAGUCAUCAGCUUGUGUUGAUUACGUCCCUGCCCUUUGUACACACCGCCCGUCGCUCCUACCGAUUGAAUGUUCCGGUGAGCUCUUCGGACUGCGCGGUCUGCAGUUUCUGCGUUCCGUGCGGAAAGUUGCGCAAACCUUAACAUUUAGAGGAAGGAGAAGUCGUAACA